rnacentral:rRNA from 1 species
GACGAACGCUGGCGGCGUGCUUAACACAUGCAAGUCGAACGGAAAGGCCCUGCUUUUGUGGGGUGCUCGAGUGGCGAACGGGUGAGUAACACGUGAGUAACCUGCCCUUGACUUUGGGAUAACUUCAGGAAACUGGGGCUAAUACCGGAUAGGAGCUCCUGCUGCAUGGUGGGGGUUGGAAAGUUUCGGCGGUUGGGGAUGGACUCGCGGCUUAUCAGCUUGUUGGUGGGGUAGUGGCUUACCAAGGCUUUGACGGGUAGCCGGCCUGAGAGGGUGACCGGCCACAUUGGGACUGAGAUACGGCCCAGACUCCUACGGGAGGCAGGAGUGGGGAAUAUUGCACAAUGGGCGGAAGCCUGAUGCAGCAACGCCGCGUGCGGGAUGACGGCCUUCGGGUGGUAAACCGCUUUCGCCUGUGACGAAGCGUGAGUGACGGUAAUGGGUAAAGAAGCACCGGCUAACUACGU